CCUACGGGUGGCUGCAGUGGGGAAUAUUGGACAAUGGGGGCAACCCUGAUCCAGCCAUGCCGCGUGUGUGAAGAAGGCCCUCGGGUUGUAAAGCACUUUCAGUGAGGAAGAACGCCUGGUGGUUAAUACCCAUCAGGAAAGACAUCACUCACAGAAGAAGCACCGGCUAACUCCGUGCCAGCAGCCGCGGUAAUACGGAGGGUGCGAGCGUUAAUCGGAAUUACUGGGCGUAAAGCGCGCGUAGGUGGCUUGAUAAGCCGGUUGUGAAAGCCCCGGGCUCAACCUGGGAACGGCAUCCGGAACUGUCAAGCUAGAGUGCAGGAGAGGAAGGUAGAAUUCCCGGUGUAGCGGUGAAAUGCGUAGAGAUCGGGAGGAAUACCAGUGGCGAAGGCGGCCUUCUGGACUGACACUGACACUGAGGUGCGAAAGCGUGGGGAGCAAACAGGAUUAGAUACCCGGGUAGUC
rnacentral:rRNA from 1 species